AUACUUACCUGGCAGGGGAGAUACUAUGAUCACGAAGGUGGUUUUCCCAGGGUGAGGCUCAUCCAUUCCACUCUGGAUGUGCUGACCCCUUCGAUUUCCCCAAAUUCAGGAAACCACUGCGUAAUUGUGGUAGUGAGGGACUCUCCCCUGC
rnacentral:snRNA from 1 species